AGAGUUGUAUCCUGGCUCAGGAUGAACGCUGGCGGUAUGCCUAACACAUGCAAGUCGUACGAGAGUUUUUAACUUUAGUGGCGGACGGGUGAGUAACACGUAAGAAUUUACCUUUAGGAGGGGGACAACAAUUGGAAACGAUUGCUAAUACCCCAUAUGCUUUCGAGUGAAACGGAUUUUUCCGCCUAUUGAGAAGCUUGCGGCUGAUUAGCUUGUUGGUAAGGUAAUGGCUUACCAAGGCGACGAUCAGUAUCUUGUUUGAGAGGAUGAUCAGACACACUGGAACUGAGACACGGUCCAGACUCCUACGGGAGGCAGCAGUGAGGAAUUUUCCGCAAUGGGCGAAAGCCUGACGGAGCAAUACCGCGUGAGGGAUGACUGCCUAUGGGUUGUAAACCUCUUUUUUCAGGGAGGAACAAAAUGACGUGUACCUGAAGAAUAAGCAUCGGCUAACUCCGUGCCAGCAGCCGCGGUAAGACGGAGGAUGCAAGUGUUAUCCGGAAUCACUGGGCGUAAAGCGUCUGUAGGUGGUUUAAUAAGUCAACUGUUAAAUCUUGAGGCUCAACCUCAAAAUCGCAGUCGAAACUAUUAGACUAGAGUAUAGUAGGGGUAAAGGGGAUUUCCAGUGGAGCGGUGAAAUGCGUAGAGAUUGGAAAGAACACCGAUGGCGAAGGCACUUUACUGGGCUAUUACUAACACUCAGAGACGAAAGCUAGGGUAGCAAAUGGGAUUAGAUACCCCAGUAGUCCUAGCU
rnacentral:rRNA from 1 species